rnacentral:antisense_RNA from 1 species
GGGAUGGACCUCCAGAUUUCCUUACUGACCUGCAUUAUCUUGUGGAUACCUGAGUGAAUUCCACACCACCCAUUUUAUAGAUGAAACCACUGAGACAUGGAGCAACUGACUGAGUAGUCACUGCCCCACCCCUGCCUGGAGCCUCACACAUGACUCGUCUCCUCUCAGUGACCACAGGAAAACAAGCUCAGGGCUCCCACUGAUUGUACAUUAUGAGACGGAGUCUUGCUAUGUUGCCCAGGCUGGUCUUGAACUCCUCACCUCAAGCGAUCCUCUCGUCUUGGCCUCCCAAGUGUCAGGAUUACAGGCAUGUGCUAUCACACCCAACCUGAUACAUUGCCUUUAUAAAUUUUUUUUUCUUUAUUCUAAAAACCAGAAAAAACAAAACUGGAUACAUGUGCAGAACAUGCAGACCAAGUGUGUUGGGGACUUGAGAUGCGUACAUGAGUGUUUGUGAUGUUUCCUGCCGAAAGCACAGGUGAGACGUGGUCUUGUAACACAGUGGUUAAGAAUGUGACUUUGGAGCCAGCCUGCUAGGGGCUGAAUUCUGACUCAGCCAUUUACUAACUGUGUGACCUUAGGGAGGAGGACCUGGUUGAUAGAAGAAUUUAUCUCGUAGUCUUAACAUCCACUGUAAUUCCAAACUUUGAGGACGAUAGAGAUCAGUGGGCUUUGACUGCCCAGCAUGCAGUCUCCAU